GACGAACGCUGGCGGCGUGCCUAAUACAUGCAAGUAGAACGCAGUUGCGAACGGGUGAGUAACGCGUAGGUAACUGCCUGGUAGCGGGGGAUAACUAUUGGAAACGAUAGCUAAUACCGAUUAUACCCAGAUGGACUUGCGUUGUAUUAGCUGGUUGGGGGGGUAACGGCUAACCAAGGCAACGAUACAUAGCCGACCUGAGAGGGGGUUCGGCCACACUGGGACUGAGACACGGCCCAGACGCCUACGGGAGGCAGCAGUAGGGAAUCUUCGGCAAUGGACGGAAGUCUGACCGGGCAACGCCGCGUGAGUGAAGAAGGUUUUCGGAUCGUAAAGCUCUGUUGUAAGAGAAGCGGUAUCUUACCAGAAAGGGACGGCUAACUACGUGCCAGCAGCCGCGGUAAUUC
rnacentral:rRNA from 1 species